UGGCGAACGGGUGAGUAACGCGUAGACAACUUGCCCAGAGAUUUGGGAUAACAUCGAGAAAUUGAUGCUAAUACCGCAUACGAUCUACGGAUGAAAGCGGGGGACCUUCGGGCCUCGCGCGAUUGGAGCGGCCGAUGUUAGAUUAGGUAGUUGGUGGGGUAAAGGCUCACCAAGCCGACGAUCUAUAGCUGGUCUGAGAGGACGACCAGCCACACUGGAACUGAGACACGGUCCAGACUCC
rnacentral:rRNA from 1 species